rnacentral:rRNA from 1 species
AGAGUUUGAUCCUGGCUCAGGAUGAACGCUGGCGGCGUGCUUAACACAUGCAAGUCGAACGAGAAGCUUGUUUUCGGAUAAGCGGAGAGUGGCGCACGGGUGAGUAACACGUAACUAAUCUGCCUCAGAGAGCGGGAUAACGCGUCGAAAGAUGUGCUAAUACCGCAUAAGCUCACGAUCUGUAGAGGAUAGUGAGAAAAACUCCGGUGCUCUGAGAUGAGGUUGCGGUCCAUCAGCUAGUUGGUGAGGUAAAAGCUUACCAAGGCGACGACGGAUAGGGGGCCUGAGAGGGUGACCCCCCACACUGGGACUGAGACACGGCCCAGACUCCUACGGGAGGCAGCAGUGAGGAAUAUUGCGCAAUGGACGAAAGUCUGACGCAGCGACGCCGCGUGGGUGAUGAAGGUUUUCGGAUCGUAAAGCCCUUUUUCUUGGUGACGAAAAGGACGGUAGCCAAGGAAUAAGUGUCGGCUAACUACGUGCCAGCAGCCGCGGUAAAACGUAGGACGCAAGCGUUAUCCGGAAUUACUGGGCGUAAAGCGCGCGCAGGCGGGUUAUCAAGUCAUGUGUGAAAGCUCCCGGCUAAACUGGGAGAGGUCAGAUGAUACUGAUAGCCUGGAGUGCAUCAGAGGUAAGUGGAAUUCCGCGUGUAGUGGUGAAAUGCGUAGAUAUGCGGAGGAACACCAGUGGCGAAGGCGGCUUACUGGGAUGCAACUGACGCUGAGGCGCGAAAGCAUGGGUAGCGAACGGGAUUAGAAACCCCGGUAGUCCAUGCCGUAAACGAUGUGUACUAGAUGUUCGUGUGUCGUAAAGGCAUGUGAGUGUCGAAGCUAACGCGAUAAGUACACCGCCUGGGGAGUACGGUCGCAAGGCUAAAACUCAAAGGAAUUGACGGGGGCCCGCACAAGCAGCGGAGCGUGUGGUUUAAUUCGAGGCUACGCGAAGAACCUUACCUAGAUUUGACAUGGUAGUGGUAGAGAAAUGAAAGUGGAUCGACCCUUCGGGGAGCUAUCACAGGUGCUGCAUGGCUGUCGUCAGCUCGUGUCGUGAGAUGUUCGGUUAAGUCCGAAAACGAGCGCAACCCCUAUCGUUAGUUACAAGUGUCUAGCGAGACUGCCCUCGACAAGGGGGAGGAAGGUGGGGAUGAUGUCAAGUCAGCAUGGCCUUUAUAUCUAGGGCUACACACACGCUACAAUGGCGCGUACAAUAGGUAGCGAAGCCGCGAGGUGGAGCCAAUCCAGUAAAGCGAGUCGUAGUUCGGAUUACAGGCUGCAACUCGCCUGUAUGAAGUUGGAGUUGCUAGUAACCGCAAAUCAGCACGUUGCGGUGAAUACGUUCCCGGGCCUUGUACACACCGCCCGUCACGUCACGGGAGUUGGUCACGCCUGAAGUCGGGAGGCUAACCGUAAGGGAGCUACCGCCGAAGGCAGGGCUGGUGACUGGGACGAAGUCGUAACAAGGUA